UACGUAGGGGGCAAGCGUUGUCCGGAAUCAUUGGGCGUAAAGCGCGCGUAGGCGGCCCUGUAAGUCCGCUGUGAAAGUCAAAGGCUCAACCUUUGAAAGCCGGUGGAUACUGCAGGGCUAGAGUCCGGAAGAGGCGAGUGGAAUUCCUGGUGUAGCGGUGGAAUGCGCAGAUAUCAGGAGGAACACCUAUUGCGAAGGCAGCUCGCUGGGACGUAACUGACGCUGAGACGCGAAAGCGUGGGGAGCAAACAGG
rnacentral:rRNA from 1 species